AAUAUUGGACAAUGGGCGAAAUCCUGAUCCCGCCAUGCCGUGUGUGUGAAGAAGGUCUUCGGAUUGUAAAGCACAUUAAGUUGGGAGGAAGGUCAGUAAGAUAAUAUGUUGCUGCUUUGACGUUACCGACAGAAUAAGCAUCUGCUAACUGCGUGCACGCAGCCGCGGUAAUACGAAGGGUGCAAGCUUUAAUCGGAAUUACUGGGCUUAAAGCGGGCGUAGGUGGUUUGUUAAGGUGGAAGUGAAAGCCCCGGGAUCAACCUGGGAACUGCUUUCAAAACUGGCAAGCUAGAGUAUGGCAGAGGGUGGUGGAAUUUCCUGUGUAGCGGUGAAAUGCGUAGAUAUAGGAAGGAACACCAGUGGCGAAGGCGACCACCUGGGCUAAUACUGACACUGAGGUGCGAAAGCGUGGGGAGCAAAC
rnacentral:rRNA from 1 species